GAUGAAGAACGUAGCAAAAUGCGAUAAGUAAUGUGAAUAGCAGAAUUCAGUGAAUCAUCGAAUCUUUGAACGCACAUUGCGCCCGCCAGUAUUCUGGCGGGCAUGCCUGUUCGAGCGUCAUUUCAACCCUCAAGCACAGCUUGGUGUUGGGACUCGCGUUAAUUCGCGUUCCCCAAAUUGAUUGGCGGUCACGUCGAGCUUCCAUAGCGUAGUAGUAAAACCCUCGUUACUGGUAAUCGUCGCGGCCACGCCGUUAAACCCCAACUUCUGAAUGUUGACCUCGGAUCAGGUAGGAAUACCCGCUGAACUUAAGCAUAUCAAUAAGCGGAGGA
rnacentral:misc_RNA from 1 species